UUAUUUUUAUUAUUUUUUAUUUUUUUAUUUUACUUUAAGUUCUAGGGUACAUGUGCACAACGUGCAGGUUUGUUACAUAUGUAUACAUGUGCCACGUUGGUGUGCUGCAUUUACAUUAGGUAUAUCUCCUAAUGCUAUCCUUCCCCCUCCCACCACCCCCGGCAGGCCCCAGUGUGUGAUGUUCCCCACCCUGUGUCCAUGUGUUCUCAUUGUUCAAUUCCCACCUAUGAGUGAGAACAUGUGGUGUUUGGUUUUCUGUCCUCGUGAUAUCUGCUCAGAAUUAUGGUUUCCGGCUUCAUCCAUGUCCCUGCAAAGGACAUGAACUCAUCCUUUUUUAUGGCUGCAUAGUAUUCCAUAGGGUAUAUGUGCCACAUUUUCUUAAUCCAGUUUAUCAUUGAUAGACAUUUGGGUUGGGUCCAAGUCUUUGCUAUUGUGAAUAGUGCUGCAAUAAACAUACGUGUGCAUGUGUCUUUAUAGCAGCAUGAUUUAUAAUCCUUUGGGUAUAUGCCCAGUAGUGGGAUGGCUGGGUCAAAUGGUAUUUCUAGUUCUAGAUCCCUGAGGAAUCACCACACUGUCUUCCACAAUGGUUGAACUAGUUUACAGUCCCACCAACAGUGUAAAAGGGUUCCUAUUUCUCCACAUUCUCUCCAGCACCUGUUGUUUCCUGACUUUUUAAUGAUUGCCAUUCUAACUGGUGUGAGAUGGUAUCCCAUUGUGGUUUUGAUUUGCAUUUCUCUGAUGGCCAGUGAUGAUGAGCAUUUUUUCAUGUGUCUGUUGGCUGCAUAAAUGUCUUCUUUUGAGAAGUGUCUGUUCAUAUCCUUUGCCCAUUUUUUGAUGGGGUUGACUUUUUCUUGUAAAUUUGAGUUCUUUGUAGAUUCUGGAUAUUAGCCCUUUGUCAGAUGGGUAGAUUGUAAAAACUUUCUCCCAUUCUGUAGGUUGCCUGUUCACUCUGAUGGUAGUUUAUUUUGCUAUGCAGAAGCUCUUUAGUUUAAUUAGAUCCCAUUUGUCAAUUUUGGCAUUUGUUGCCAUUGCUUUUGGUGUUUUAGUCAUGAAGUCCUUGCCCAUGCCUAUGGCCUGAACAGUAUUGCCUAGGUUUUCUUCUAGGGUUUUUAUGGUUUUAGGUCUAAUAUUUAAGUCUUUAAUCCAUCUUGAAUUAAUUUUUGUAUAAGGUGUAAGGAAGGGAUCCAGUUUCAGCUUUCUACAUAUGGCUAGCCAGUUUUCCCAGCACCAUUUAUUAAAUAGAGAAUCCUUUCCCCAUUGCUUGUUUUUGUCAGGUUUGUCAAAGAUCAGAUGGUUGUAGAUGUGUGGUAUUAUUUCCAAGGGCUCUGUUCUGUUCCAUUGGUCUAUAUCUCUGUUUUGGUACCAGUACCAUGCUGUUUUGGUUACUGUAGCCUUGUAGUAUAGUUUGAAGUCAGGUAGCGUGAUGCCUCCAGCUUUGUUCUUUUGGCUUAGGAUUGUCUUGGCAAUGCAGGCUCUUUUUUGGUUCCAUAUGAACUUUAAAGUAGUUUUUUCCAAUUCUGUGAAGAAAGUCAUUGGAGCUUGAUGGGGAUGGCACUGAAUCUAUAAAUUACCUUGGGCAGUAUGGCCAUCUUCACAAUAUUGACUCUUCCUAUCCAUGAGCAUGCAAUGUUCUUCCAUGUGUUUGUGUCCUCUUUUAUUUUGCUGAGCAGUGGUUUGUAGUUCUCCUUGAAGAGGUCCUUCGCAUCCCUUGUAAGUUGGAUUCCUAGGUAUUUUAUUCUCUUUGAAGCAAUUAUGAAUGGGAGUUCACUCAUGAUUUGGCUCUCUGUUUGUCUGUUAUUGGUGUAUAGGAAUGCUUGUGAUUUUUGCACACUGAUUUUGUAUCCUGACACUUUCCUGAAGUUGCUUAUCAGCUUAAGGAGAUUUUGGGCUGAGACGAUGAGGUUUUCUAAACAUACAAUCAUGUCAUCCGCAAACAGGGACAAUUUGACUUCCUCCUUUCCUAACUGAAUACCCUUUAUUUCUUUCUCUUGCCUGAUUGCCCUGGCCAGAACUUCCAACACUAUGUUGAAUAGGAGUGGUGUAAAUAAUUUUAAAGUGAAAAAGGAACCCUUGGCCAGACAUGGUGGCUCACACCUGUAAUCCCAGCACUUCAGGAGGCUGAAGUGGGUGGAUCACCUGAAGUCAGGAGUUCGAGACCAGCCUGGCCAACAUGGUGAAACCCCUUCUCUACUAAAAACACAAAACUUAUCCAGAUGCAGUGGCACGCGCCUGUAAUCCCAGCUACUCGGGAAGCUGGGAUUCGCUUGAAUCCAGGAGGCAGAGGUUGCAGUGAGCUGAGAUGGUGCCACUGCACUCCAGCCUGAGUGACAGAGCAAGACUCUAUCUCAAAAGAAAAGAAAAAGAAAGAAAGAAAGAGAAAAGAAAAAGAAAAAAGAACCCUCAAAUUACGUGGAGACUGAGUUCUAGCUCCAGUAAUGGCAGGAUAAUUUAUAUCAAACAUUCUCAUAGCAACAAUUACAAAUCCAACAAAGAAUAUAUAAAUCUACUAUUUGAAGGACUACAGAAUAAGCAAAAUCAGGCAGAAACUGAAGGACAGCCUUAGGAAAGAAGGAAAUCAUGCUGCAGGAAAUCCCUGUUGUGUUAGUUUUCUGUUGCUGCAUAACAAAUUACCACAAACCUGGCCACUUAAUAUCCACUUAUUCACUCACAAUUCCAUAAGUCAGAAAGCUGGCACAGCAUGGCCAAGUUCUGUGCUCAGGGUUAUCACAAGUCUGAAAUCAAAAUGUCAGCUGGGCCAAGUCCCCACCUGGAAGCUCUGGAGAAAACUUGACUUCCAAGCUCAUUCAGGUUGUUGGCAAAAUUUACUUCCUUUCCGGUUGUAGGACUGAAGUCCCCAUUUUCUUGCUGGCUGUCAGCCAGGGACUUCUCUCAGUUUCUUUAGACCACCUUCUCACAAAGUCUCCAUCUAUAACCCAGCAACAACAUGCCAAAUCUUCCUUAUGCCUCAAAUUUGAGCUCCUCUUCUGCCACCAGCCACAGAAAACCCUCGGAGUUUUUAAAGGAUCUCACGUGAGUAUUGGGCCCACCAAAAUAAUCCCCCAUCUUAAUGUCAACUAAUAAUUUAACAUACUCAUGGGAAUAAUAUUAUAUUUAUUGGUGCCAAAGAUUAGGAUAUGGAAUCUCGAGGGGCCGUUCUUGGAAUUCUAUGUACUGUACCCACUUUUUCCCUGAGGUCACUGCCAUUCUACUUGGCUUGGACUGCUAGCACUGAAACAGAAAGCCACUAUCUAUUAGUCUAAGGAGUCAGAACAUGCACCACAGGCCCAGAAAAUCUAGAAAUUAAGAAUCCCAAAACAGAGUGAGCCACAGAAAGGGUACCUCAGAUAUCUGUAUAAUCCUCCACAAAUUCUUGGCUGACAGCUGAAAUGCACGUGCAAGUGGCAAAACUCCAAGGAGCUCAGAUAGAAAUAACAGUUCGAAGAAAGAACAGAAAAGAGAUUUUAGCUGACCCUCGCUGAAAGGAAGACAAAGUUUGGAGUCUGAGUUCCACCAAAUUAGAAGAGCUUUGAUGGCACUUUGGAUUUUCCACUGAAAUCCCAGAAAGGUUCCAGGACUGAAGAGUGUUUCUCAAAACUAAGGGUGAAACCACAACAGAUAUGGAAAUAACCCAAAUGUCCAUAUACAAGUGAACAGCUAAACAUAUUGCUGUAUAUUCAAACAACAAGAUACAACACAGCAUCAAAAAUGAAGUACCUACUGAUACGUCCAACAUAAUGAAUUUUUUAAACACUGUGUUGAACUAAAAAAACCACACAUAAAAAUAAUACAUGCUGUACGAUUAUACGAAGUUAUUAAACAGGCAAAGCUAAGCCAUGGUAAAUGAAAUAAUAGUCACGUAGAAGGACAUGGGGCUGGAAAGGGCACAGGGUCUUGCUUAAAAUAUGUGGCUAUAUUGCAUGUAAAGUAUGCCUCAAAAUGUAAAAAAGAAAAAUUUAACUUAUUGUACUAAAACUAAAAAUAUGCAGAUUUAUAUUGAGAAAGUAACAAAAACAAAAAUAGAGAAUAAGUAUCUGAAGUCACAUUUUUUAAUAUCAUAGCUAUAUCUAAAUUUUAAAUAGUAUUUAGGAAGCAAAGUGAGAAAGUCAAUGCAUUCCCUGUUCUCACAUGCUACCUGAGCUAACCAGCAUAGUUAGGCAUUGCUUUGAGAUGAUGCAAUUAAUCAAACAGACACAUAGGUCUCCAUAACUUGACUCAGAUACCAAGGCUUAGCAUAAAUUCUUCCUUUCCACUCUUUUCAGUUAGCUCAUCACCAACUCCCAAAUUGAACAGACGGGUAUAUCACUCAUUUUUUUUUAAUACAUUCACUCAAUUGUCAAAUAACUGUGUGUUUCCUUGUGAAGGUCAAAGUCUUCAUAGAUCUUUCUGUCAAUGUAAACCUGACACAUUUAAAAAGUCAGUAUGCAGAGCAAAAUCUAUUUGAGAUUAACAUUUUUUCAAUUCAAUUUAAUUUCCCAUGACAAGUCAUCCUGAUAUUCACAAUGUUUCCUUCAUUUCACUAAUGAGCUAAAGACAGCUUUCACAUUUAUUUCACUUCUUUCAGAAUAGGAUGCAUUUGGCAAUACCAACCAUUUAAAUAAGCAAAUGUAUAAUUCUGAAUAGGUUUUGAAAACGUUUCACCGUGGUCUCUGUCACUCAUAGACCUAGUUGGUAGUGUUUCCUUUCAACAAGUGCACAGACUGGUAAGAAAAGUUGUUACAAAUUACCAAAGGUCAAUAUGCUGCCGGCCACCCAGUCAUAUAAAUUGAUAUGUCUUCUUGUUCCAGCAAGUUAGAAGCUCAGUAAGGGCAGAGACAGGAAUCUCUUAACAAUGAGCAGUAUGUGAUUUUCACUGGAGAGGAGAGAGGCUGCAUGUGUGCCCAAAUCCAUCCUCAAAGCAUACCGGAGAACGGUAUGAAACAGCAUAUUUAACAGCCUAUAUUUCUCCAUCAUACAAACUAUAAAAAAUACAGCUGAAAAGUCUUCUUGGCUGGAGAAAACACAGAAUACAGCAUAAGAAAGACUAUAGGGUUAAAAGGUUUUUAUCCCUUUUAACCCUAUAGUUUGGAGGGGAUAAAAGAAAUGCCAAACAAUGUUCUCUAACGUAAUCAAGUACAGAUUCCAGGAAUUGCAAGGAAAAAAAAACAAUACCUCAGGUAUGUUUCAAAACCAAGGGCUAAAUCAAGGCAGAUAUUUCCAGCUAAAAAUAAUGUAUUGAGUAUACCCAACUCUGCUUCCUCCAGCAAGCGAUAAAUUUUAAAACAUGCAAGAAAUAAUUUAAGCAUAAGCCUCCAAGGACAAAAAGAUAACAGCAAACAGAUGUUAACAAAAUGGUAUACUGUGUUAAAAGGACGAACAAUGGUAAACAACUCAGCAGUGUAAAGAAAAUUGCAACCUAAGUGCCUGCAAAGGGCAAUGCCCACAAGAUGCCAGCCUAGUCACACGGCCAAUGAACAAAUGAUUCUCACUUCCCAAGGUACAAUAAACCAAGGCAAAACGUAUUUCCUUAUUAUAUACAGAAUACAGCAACAAUUCAGUUAUUCCACAUUUCCUACUGGUAACAAGUAAGACAACAAGCCUGAUUUCUCUUUCUGGUUGUCCACUGCUUACACAGUACUAGCUUAGGAAUAAUUUGCUUUUUUUGUUGAAGUUUGUCAUAAGAGCACUUUGCUCUAGUCACCAAGUGAUUUCAUGUAUGCAGCCUUGAAGCUAUGACACACUCUCUAGCUCACCAUUCUUUGUGUCUCUGGGAACCAGUACUUCCUAUCUCAUCUAAUACAAGCAAGACAUCUUCUUUUAUGCUUCUCUGGGCCCGAUAUUCACCCUCCUACUAGCAGUUCAAGGGCUGGGUCUCCCUUCUCAGCACUAUGGUACACUCCAAAGCAAUUAAAUGAGUUUUUUUAAAACAUUAGUAAGUUUUAUGUUCCUUUUUAUAGGGAACUCUAAGAUGCAAAUUAAAUGCCCUUACUAUAUUUUGUCCUCAAUUUGGCUGUAAAUAGACUAAUGCCAACCCUUAAGUAUCUGUGGAAAUCAAUAUUUAUCAAUACAGUUGUGCAAUGAUAGAAUCAGAUUCCAGGAAGAGCUGACAACUAGAUAACUAAGUGAAAAGUGCAUUUAUGCAUUUGAGUAUGUGUGCAUGUGCACACAUCUGUACACACAGUUGGAAGCAGAAAAGGGAGAGAAAAGGCUCAUGGAUCUCCUAGACAUCAUUUGGUAGAAGAAUAGAACAAUAAAUAAAAAAAUUUAUUAUUUCCAAGAGAGAACCAUGGCAGUUAAAGAACACAGGUAGAUAGGGAGACUUCACCAAAAGACAAGACAUCAACAGUAAGUGCAGCUACCUUGACAGGUAAAUCUCUAAAAUCAAUAGCCAAUUGUCUAAGUAAGCAGAAAACAAAGUUAGGGUUGAGUUUGCUUUCUGUCACUUAAAAGAUUUACUCUUACAUGUAGAUUUCACUCAAAUGAUGAGAGAAACCAUUCUUACUCCUCACUUAUGCCAGUAUCGUAAGUUCAUAACAAUAAGUAACAAGCUCUAAUUCAACAAAUAUCAUAUGUAUUAAUAAAAGGAACUCUGCUACAUUUUAUAUCUGAGUUGGCAGUGAGAAAGUAGUUACUAUAUCCUGUACUCCAGAGUCUCAAAGAAGAAAGUUCUUCACUUUCUAUUCAGGUUCUUCAAAUACCCUUUCCAGAAGUCUGCAUGGUCAAAACUAUGUUCACAAUAAUACCGAAAUUUUACCAUACUGACAUUUUCAGUUAUGAUACAAAAGCAAUCGUGGGUUAAACUACUGGUACCUUACCAACAAUGCCCAACCUUUUUGGCACGAGGGACUAUUCUUGUGGAAGACAAUUUUUCCACUGACAGGGGAUGGUCAGAUUCUCAUAAGGAUGUGCAACCUAGAUCCCUCACAUGUGCAGUUCACAAUAGGGAUCGAGCGCCUAUGAGAAUCUAAUGCCGCUGCUGAUAUGACAAGAGACGGAGCUCAGGCGGUAAUGCCCGCUCACCCGCCUGGCCGCUCACCUUCUGCUGUGUGGCCUGGUUCCUAACAGGCCACAGACCGGUAGGCUGCAAAUUCCCACAAACUUCAUGGCCUUUCGACGGCAUUUAUUUUAAGUUCUAGAAGCCAGAAGCCCAAAAUCCAAGUGUUGCUAACAAAGCCACAGUCCUUGCCAAUGGCUACUAGGGGAGAACCAAUUCUUUCCCUCUUUCAGCUUUUGGUGGCUCCAGACAUUCCUUGGUUUGUAGCCACAUCACUUCAAUCUCUGCCACCAUGAUCACACUGCCUCCUCCUCUUCUUCUGCGUCUUCUCCCCUUCUGUCUCUGUCUUCCCUGUGUGUCUCUCUCCCAUCAUGACACUUGUCAUUAGGUUUAGAGCCUGCCUAAUCUAAUCCAAAAUUAUCUCCUUAUCUCAAGAUUUUUAAUUAUAUCUGCAAUGACCCUUUUUCCAAUUAAGGUAAUAUUCGUAGGUUGUGAUAAUUAGGUCAUGGGUGUAUCUCUUGCAGGAGACAUUAUUCAUCUCACGACUAGUCUUUUUAAUAUUUUGUGUGACCACGUGACAACUACGCAUAAAGCACUUCUGCUGCAUAGUGAAGUUUAAUAGUUACCUUGAGGAAAAACACUUGUGAGGUUGAGUCACAAGAUCAACUACAACCUUUUUGCAUGGGCACCAUCUUUACAUGCAAGAACAAUGGACAAACUACAAGCUAAAAACAGCCUAAAAGCUACAAAACCAGUACCGUUAGCAGAGCCCUGAUGUUGCUAAGACCUGACCCUCACAGCAAAGACUUGAUGUCCUCCUGUUAGAAGAACAUCAACAUCAGACAAGACUACUGACCAUGAUGGAUCAAGACAAAAACAAGCAAACAUAUCAACAUUGUCCAAAAAACAAAAAUAACCAAAUAUCUACCUUUCCUUGCUAACAAGAACGACUACAACUUCUUUACCAAUUAAAGCUAUAGCCUCCAUUUAUUCCUUUCUCCUGAAAUACAACACUCAUUUAGAUAAACAAUAAGAGACCAUCCCACUGACCCCACAACAUCUAAUCCAGAACCAAGUCUCCUUCUCAUAACCCUCCAUCAAGUUAAAAAGCUUCUGCACAGUGAGACUGAGGCGGACGGAUCACGAGGUCAGGAGAUCGAGACCAUCCUGGCUAACACAGUGAAACCCUGUCUCUAUUAAAGAUACAAAAAAAUUAGCUGGACGUGGUGGCAGGCGCCUGUAGUCCCAGCUACUUGGGAGGCUGACGCAGGAGAAUGGCGUGGCUUUCCAUGAGUCGAGAUCAUGCCACUGCACUCCAGCCUGGGUGACAGAGUGAGACUCCAUCUCAAAAAAAAGAAAAAAAGAAAAAAAAGAAAAAACUUCUGCACAGCAAAGGAAACAAUCAAUAAAGUAAAGAGACACCCCCACAGAAUGAGAGAAAAUAUUGGCAAACUACCCAUCUGACAAAGGAUUAAUAACCAGAAUAUAGACGGAGCUGAAAGAACUCUAUAGGAAAAAAAUCUAAUAAUCUGAUCAAAAUAUGAGCAAAAGAGUUGAAUAGAUAUUUCUCAAAAGAAGACAUUCAAAUGGCAAACAGGCAUAUGAAAAGGUGCUCAACAUCACUAAUCAUCAGAGAAAUACAAAUCAAAACUACAAUGAGGUUAUCAUCUCACCCCAGUUAAAAUGGCUUUUAUCCAAACAACAGGCAAUAACAAAUGCUGGUGAGGACGUGGAGAAAAGGGAACCCUCAUACACUGUUGGUGGGAAUGUAAAUUAGCACAACCACUCUGGACAACACUUUGGAAACUCCACAAAAAAAAACUAAAAACAGAGCUACCAUAUGAUCCAGCAAUCCCACUGUUGGGUAUAUACCCCAAGGAAAGGAAAUAUAUCAGAGACAUCUGCACUCCCAAUGUUUGUUGCAACACUGGAAGCAACCUAAGUGUCCAUCAACAGAUGAAUGGAUUAAAAAAAAAAAUGAGGUACAUAUGCACAAUGGAGUACUAGUGAACCAUAAAAAAGAAUGAGAUCCAGUCAUUUGCCACAACAUGGAUGGAACUGGAAGAACAUUAUGUUAAGUGAAAUAAGCCAGGCACAGAAAGACAAACAUUUCAUAUUCUCACUUAUUAGUAGGAUCUAAAAAUCAAAACAAUUGAACUCAUGGACAGAGAGAGUAGAAGGAUGGUUACCAGAGGUUGGGAAGGGUAGUGGGGGUUGGUGCAGGGGGGAGGGGGGAGGGGGGAUGGUUAAUGAGUACAAAAAAAAAGUGGUUAGAAAGAAUGAAUAAGACCUACUAUUUGAUAGCAUAAUAGUACAAAAAAAAAGUGGUUAGAAAGAAUGAAUAAGACCUACUAUUUGAUAGCAUAAUAGGGUGACUAUAGUGAAUAGUAAUUGUUUAUUUUUAGAUAACUUAAAGAACAUAAUCAAAUUGUCUGUAACUCAAAGGAUAAAUAAAUGCUUCAGGGGCUAGAUAGCCCAUUCUCCAUAAUGUGUUAAAUUCACAUUACAUGCCUGUAUCAAAACAUCUCAUGUACCCCACAAAUAUAUGCACCUACGUACCCACAAAAAUUAAAAUGAAUGAAUGAAUAAAUAAAUAAAAACACUCCUCCUUUUCCCACUACCAAUCUGUGUGAGGCCAGAUUUUCUUAACACCUUUCAAAGAAACAUGUUGCAACAGAUUGAACUCUGAAGCUUUUAUUAGAAUCCUGCUGUAUUCAACUCUUCAGCCAGAUGUUAAAGAGAUUUGCAAAACUAAUGCUGUCACUUUCUCACUAAAUUUUUUUUAUUUUGAGACAGUUAUUUUUCAUUAACUAUUUUAUGUUAGCAUGUUAUGAGUUUAUUAUUUUAAAUUAACAAGUAUUGAAUAAAUAUCUCAGUGUUAAUGUCUGAUACAGUAAAUAUCAAUAGGUAUAACCCACAGAAACAAAAGCUCUUUGGAGCCCCUCAAUAAUUUGAGAGUUUACAGGGUUAUUGAGACUAAAAAGAGUAAGCAAAUAUAAAAUAGGACCUGGAGGGACAUGUUUUCAAACUAGACCACACAAAAUUCCCACGGUGGGAAGCAACCUAAGGAUGAGUUCAUAAUACAAAAUUAUACAAAAAAAUGGAAACAACCUAUCAUUGUGAAAAUCAACACACACAAAACACAAGAGUUUAUAUUUCCAAGACAUUUAGAUAAUAGAAUUAUGUGACGGAUACUACAAAAUAACUAAGUUUAACAUUUACUAAAGAUAUAAGAGAAUAAAUCAACAUCACAAAAAUGAGAUACUACUUUUUUUUAAGAGCAGAUUAGAAAAAGAACCAAAUAUAACUUAUUGCAAUGAAAAAUGGGCAGUGAAAUUUAAACACCAAUGCUUGGGUUAAAACCAUAAAUCAGAUACAGAAAAAGACAUCAGAGAUGAACUAGAAGAUGAAUCUGAGCAAUUAAACAGAAGAAAGCACAGAUAAAGGAAUAAAAAUAUGAAAAAGAGAUUAUACAACAUCAACAAAAUCAAAGGAAACAUAUCAAGUUGAAGUCGUGAAGGGAAAAAAAAAAAACUUGAUAAUUUUCCAGUGCUGAUGAAAGAGAUGAAUCCUCAGACACAGGAAAUAUGAAUCCCAAUCAGUGACUAUGUAUACAAAAUUUUAAAUGCAAUCAGAAAUUCAAAUUACUUCAGGAGAAUGACAAUUAGACUAGUCCAAGCUAUAGCACAUGCCAGAAGACAAUGGGAUAAUACCUUCAGAUUAACAAAGAUAACUGUCAUACCCAAUCAACAUUUCAGAGCAAAACAAAAACAUUUUCAGACAGACAAAACAAAAACAUUUUCAGACAGACAAAACAAAAACAAAACAUACUCUCACUGAAAUAACUACUAAAAUAUGGUAUUUUUAAAUACCAUAUUAAAAAUCAAAAUGCCAUUUUUAAAACGGGGCAAAAAAAAAGACGAGGAAAUAGGAUAUCCGAGGAAGAGGAUAACAACUAAUGUUGGAAGUACUUUAAAAAAUAAAACCAAAAUACGGAAUGUAGUAACAUUUAAAUUGGAAAAGUGAAUAGUGUUCCAAGGGUCUUAAAUUGUACAUGAGGUAGAAAUAUUGCUUAAUCUUAGACUUAGUUACCUCAAGUAUGCUCUUAUGACAUCAAAGAUAACCACAAAAUUUGGAUGCUUAAGAUAACCAGGCCGCAAGACAAAUUAAAAUAUGCUGCAAUAUGCAGAAACCCAAUAAAUAAGUCAGGAUACUGAUACAAACUCUUCUGUUUCACCAACUCCCACUCUUCCUCAGGACACUUCUCAUAUUGUAUAUAAUAACAAACGUCCACUUGACAUGACACAACAGUGCCAGUGUUAACUCAACUAAUAAACAAGAGAAAACCUUUUCUCCUCUCAAGAUAAAUGUAUAGAUAGAAAAAUCUAAUUCAUUCUUUCAUCCCAAAGGAACAUCCUGCUCCUCACUUUGGAAACCACAGAUACACAGCUGACCCUUGAACAACACAGGAAUUAGGGGCGCUGACUCUCCCCUCACUUCCCACCACCCCAGGCAGGCAGUCAAAAAUCCACAUGUAACUUUUGACUCUCCAAAAACUUAACCACUAAUAGCCUACUGUUGACUGGAAGUCUUAUCAAUAACAUAAACUGUUGAUUAACACAUAUUUUGUUACAUGUAUUAUAUAUCACAGUCUUACAAUAAAGUAAGCUAGAGAAAAGAAAAUGUUAUUAAGAAAGUCAUAUGGAAGAGAAAAUAUACUUACUAUUCAUCAAGUGGAAGUGGAUCAUUAUAAAGGUCUUCAUCCUGGUUGUCUUCACACUGAGUAGGCUGAACAGAAGGAAGAAGAAGGGCAGGUCUUACUGUCUCAGGGUAGCAGAGGCAGAAGAAGUGGAGGAGGUGCAAAGGGAGGCAGGAGAGGCAGGCACACUUGGGGUUACUUUUAUUGAAAAACAAAAUCCACAUUUAAGUGGACUCUCACAGUUCAAACCUAUGUUAUUCAAGAGUCAACUGUAUAUGUCCAGGAUUAUAUAGGCAGUUCCACACAUAAAACAACUCUUAAUGUACUAAAUCAUGAGUUAAUUCAGCAAGGAAAAAGCUAAGUAAAGGGUAUUCAUAACAGCAUAAGUAAAGGACAAGGGAUAAAAUAGCAGAAUCUAAGUAGGAAAACUAAAAAGUUUGAAAUUUGCAGUUGUGAACUGCUAGGGCAUAAAGCACAUCUCUCUGGGAUUGACUACUGAAAACUAAGAGGAGACAGCCUUUAUCCCCACUGUAGGUGCUAAUGCUGCCAGUAGAUCUCAGUGAAGGCAGUCUAAUCUUUUCCACCUUCCUCUCUUCAUAGUAAUCAACGUCUUAUACUCACCACAUGUUAUCAAGUCUACGAUGCCUGAAUACCUUUAUUGGAAUUGGAAAGGAGACAGGGUUUUAUUGUUUGGUCCCAGAGGAACAUGAAAUCUGACUUCUACUUCAUUGGAGAAAAUGAAUUUCCUUAGCACAGAUGCACUUUUAUACUGCCUUUUCUCCAAAAGCAUCUCAGUAUAAAACAAGUAAUCCCAAUGCUGACUUCCAAUAAUCAGUAAGAUAAGUCCAGAGAUGAAUUGUUUACUGGCAGCUGAAAUCAUAUGAAGAUGCUAAAGACAAUUGGCGAUAUGUAUGAUGAGGUCCACAUCACUUAGUGCCUACUACUGCUUUUUCUUUUGACUCUCCAAUAUAAGAGCUGAAACAGCUGGUACCCCAAAAGUGGAAGAGUCCCUUGCCCCAACAACCACUUAAAAGACAUCAAUUAGCAUCUAUUACGUAAUAAAAGGGUUCUCAAAAUAAUUAAGUUUUCCAUACUUUUAAAGCCAACCUGAAAGCUUUUAACCAACAAGGCACCUAAAGUCCUGAUGGCUGCACACCAGUCUAGCCAGUUAAUUACUCUACCAACGAUGUGUAAUGGUACUCAGUUACUCAUUCACUCAGUCAGUCCUUCAAAUACUCAAGGCGUGUUAACUAUGUACCAGGCACUGGUGCAGGAAAUACUGUGAUGAAAUAGAUGACCCUUCCUAAUAUGACAUAGCACUUCCCCGGCUUAUUAAAAUUUAAUCUCAAAAACCACAACAUUCAUUAAACUACAAUUUCCUCCAUAUCGUUUUGUUAAAAAUUUUAUGAACCACAAAUAAAACUCACUCCCAAGUUAUUACAAUACAAGUUUACUCCAAAUCUAAAUAGUAACAAUGAGAAAACAAACACGUCACAUAGUGUGUGUUCUAUAUAUGUUUAAUAGUCAUUAUGAUAAUAUGAGAUCUAAAGAAUACAGCAUUUACAAUGGUUUUCAAGCAAGAGUCUCCAAAGACACCAGGGCAAAGAGUUUAAAUACAUAGAUCCUCCUGUCCUAAUGUUUUACCAAAGCCAGAAGUUUUACUGCUAAGUUUAUUUCACUAUUUGCUGUCAUUUGCCCUCUCUGAUGAGGUCAGUUACCAUGUUGUGGCUAUCCUGUGAAGAAGACCAGAUGAAAA